rnacentral:rRNA from 1 species
AAUUUAAGCAUAUAAGUAAGCGGAGGACAAGAAACUAAAUAGGAUUCCCCCAGUAAUGGCGAAUGAACAGGGAAGAGCUCAGCAUGGAAAUCGGGGCCUCCCGGCCUUGAAUUGUAGUCUUGAGAUGUACUGCCAACGGAGGCGCAGAUGUAAGCCUCUUGGAAAAGAGCAUCAACGAGGGUGAGAGUCCCGUUUGUCAUCUGCAGUCCCCCGUGCACGGUGUACAUUCUAAGAGUCACGUUCCUCGGGAUUGGAGCGCAAAGUGGGUGGUAAAUUUCAUCUAAAGCUAAAUAUUGGUUCGAGACCGAUAGCAAACAAGUACCAUGAGGGAAAGGUGAAAAGGACUUUGAAAAGAGAGUUAAAAGUGCCUGAAAUUGCUGAAAGGGAAGCGAAUGGAACCAGUGUUCUUGAUGAGAUUGUCGCGUACUCUGGUGAUUGCUGGGUGCUCCACCGCAAGGGGGGCAUUUGGUUUUGAGCUAGAUGUGCGUGGUGUUUCUUGUCUUGUGUGUCACCGUCGGUGCACGAGCGAGUAAACCUCCAGGGAGAUGGUAACUCGUCUGCGGAUGAGUGAAUGUCUUUGGUAGUACUCAUUUGUGUAUCGAUCCCUGCGUGUCUGGUUGCAGUGUUUGAGUCGUCUGGAAGCUUCUGAAAGGCUUGCCCUCGAUGAACUUUCUGGGCUCCUUGAGCAUCUCCC